rnacentral:rRNA from 1 species
GACGAACGCUGGCGGCGUGCCUAAUACAUGCAAGUUGAGCGCUGAAGGUUGGUACUUGUACCAACUGGAUGAGCAGCGCACGGGUGAGUAACGCGUGGGGAAUCUGCCUUUGAGCGGGGGACAACAUUUGGAAACGAAUGCUAAUACCGCAUAAAAACUUUAAACACAAGUUUUAAGUUUGAAAGAUGCAAUUGCAUCACUCAAAGAUGAUCCCGCGUUGUAUUAGCUAGUUGGUGAGGUAAAGGCUCACCAAGGCGAUGAUACAUAGCCGACCUGAGAGGGUGAUCGGCCACAUUGGGACUGAGACACGGCCCAAACUCCUACGGGAGGCAGCAGUAGGGAAUCUUCGGCAAUGGACGAAAGUCUGACCGAGCAACGCCGCGUGAGUGAAGAAGGUUUUCGGAUCGUAAAACUCUGUUGGUAGAGAAGAACGUUGGUGAGAGUGGAAAGCUCAUCAAGUGACGGUAACUACACAGAAAGGGACGGCUAACUACGUG